CCCUGGCUAGCUCAGUUGGUAGAGCGUUUCACUGGAAAUGGGGAGGUUUAGGGUUCGACACCCGGACCAGGCA
rfam:Ixodes scapularis strain Wikel colony gcontig_1107728758342, whole genome shotgun sequence.